AAAAACUCAGUUUCAAUAAAUCAACCUAAACAAAAUUUAUUUUUAAUCCUAAAAUAAACUUCAUAUAAUGUAUCCUUUUAUUUUAACAGUGAAAUAUAAAUAAGGAUAGAUAAUAGAACAACAAACAUGAGAGUGAUACACACCGAAAAGAAGAAGGCGGUAGCAGUGCGCGGUUGAUGGUGGUUAGCGGCGAUUAUCGGCGGAAGUGAAGGUGACUUCUGUUUCUCUCCUUUUCUAUUUUUUAUAUUUCUAAAUAUAUAUGAUUUUAAUGGUGGAGCUGAGUUGUUGUUCCUUCUACGUUAACUAUUUUUUUUUUCAGAAUCUCUCUUUAAAAAAAUUUAUCUUUUCCCUUCUUCUCUUUUUUUUCAAACCAAAACUCUCUUCUUUAGAUGUGUUUCUUCCCCUAAAAAUGUCUCUCUUCUUUGUAAAAAAAAAGGAUGUAUUUAUAGAGUUUUUUUUAUCUGUUUAGUUGUUUUCUUGGUUGUGUCUCUGUUUGAGUUUGAACUUUCUAGUUCUUUGUUUGAUGUUUCGUUUUCUUUGCUCAUCAUCUGCAUUUUUCUGCAUCUCUGAUGCCUUCAUAGUUUUAACUUAUUUGUUCUGAUUUGUUCAUUGUUGAGCUUUUAUUUGUCUUUUAGUUUCUUUUUUUUAAACUCAAAAAUUUGUCAUUUAGUUCUGCAUAAUGUGUACAAAUACUGACUUAUUUAUGUUUUUAUGUUUCUCUAAUUAGUUACAAAGCAAAGGUCAAUUACACUGCAUCUGAAACAGAAAGGCAGCAACAAAACAGAGCCAAACACUGCAUCAGAAACAGAGAGGCAACAACAACAACAAAACAGAGCCAAAGGCUUAAUUUAAU
rnacentral:lncRNA from 1 species